AGAGUUCGAUCCUGGCUCAGGAUGAACGCUGGCGGCGUGCCUAACACAUGCAAGUCGAACGGUUAAAGCCCCUUCGGGGGUGCAUAGAGUGGCGAACGGCUGAGUAACACGUGGGCAACCUGCCCCCCGCACCGGGACAGCCUCGGGAAACCGUGGUUAAUACCGGAUACUCCGCCACCCCCGCAUGGGGGCGGCGGGAAAGCCCAGGCGGAGGGGGAUGGGCCCGCGGCCUGUUAGCUCGUUGGCGGGGUAACGGCCCACCAAGGCGAUGAUGGGUAGCCGGGUUGAGAGACCGACCGGCCAGAUUGGGACUGAGACACGGCCCAGACUCCUACGGGAGGCAGCAGUGGGGAAUCUUGCACAAUGGGCGAAAGCCUGAUGCAGCGACGCCGCGUGCGGGACGAAGGCCUUCGGGUCGUAAACCGCUUUCAGCAGGGACGAGGCCGCGAGGUGACGGUACCUGCAGAAGAAGCCCCGGCUAACUACGUGCCAGCAGCCGCGGUAAUACGUAGGGGGCGAGCGUUAUCCGGAUUCAUUGGGCGUAAAGCGCGCGCAGGCGGCCUGCUCGGUCGGGAGUCAAAUCCGGGGGCUCAACCCCCGCCCGCUCCCGAUACCGGCGGGCUUGAGUCUGGUAGGGGAAGGCGGAAUUCCCAGUGUAGCGGUGGAAUGCGCAGAUAUUGGGAAGAACACCGGUGGCGAAGGCGGCCUUCUGGGCCACGACUGACGCUGAGGCGCGAAAGCUAGGGGAGCGAACAGGAUUAGAUACCCUGGUAGUCCUAGCCGUAAACGAUGGACACUAGGUGUGGGGGGAGGAUCCCUCCGUGCCGCAGCCAACGCAUUAAGUGUCCCGCCUGGGGAGUACGGCCGCAAG
rnacentral:rRNA from 1 species